UGGGGAAUAUUGCACAAUGGGGGAAACCCUGAUGCAGCAACGCCGCGUGAAGGAUGAAGGUCUUCGGAUUGUAAACUUCUUUGAUCGGGGAUGAAUAAUGACAGUACCCGAAAAACAAGCCACGGCUAACUACGUGCCAGCAGCCGCGGUAAUACGUAGGUGGCAAGCAUUGUCCGGAAUUAUUGGGCGUAAAGGGCGCGUAGGCGGUUCUUUAAGUCAGAUGUGAAAUCCCGAGGCUCAACCUCGGGCGUGCAUUUGAAACUGGGGGACUAGAGUGCAGGAGAGGUAAGUGGAAUUCCUAGUGUAGCGGUGAAAUGCGUAGAUAUUAGGAGGAACACCAGUGGCGAAGGCGACUUACUGGACUGUAACUGACGCUGAGGCGCGAAAGCGUGGGGAGCAAACAGGAUUAGAUACCCUGGUAGUCCACGCUGUAAACGAUGGAUACUAGGUGUGGGAGGUAUCGACCCCUUCCGUGCCGCAGUAAACGCAAUAAGUAUCCCGCCUGGGGAGUACGGCCGCAAGGUUGC
rnacentral:rRNA from 1 species